AAGAUUGUUUUAUGUUAGUCUUUUAAACUGGGAAAAUGCUCUCACAAUGUUUGUUAGGAAAGAAUAUUGAAAUGAUAUAAUAUUCCUUCUCCAUCACGAAUUUCAUUCAUAUUUUAAAUGUUUUAACUGUGUGUGUGUUUGUGUAUGUUUGUGUGAUGGUCUCUCUCUCUGUCCCCUAGGCUGGAGUACAAUGGCAAGAUCUGCUGGGAUUACAGGAACAUAUUCACCCAGAUCGGAGUGAAGUGAUAAGAUCAUGGGUUACGACAACCUCUAACUCCCAGGCUCAAGCAAUUCUUUCACUACAGCCUUCCAAGUUGCUAGAGCUACAGGCACAGUCCAAAUACCCAGGGUGCCAUGGUAGAGAUAAUUCUGAAAUUCCUAGUGGAAGUUCUUAGAGAUGCAUAUCAGCAUUCUGGUAAGAGUCCAAGUUUGAUUU
rnacentral:lncRNA from 1 species